CCCUGGCUCUCGGAGACCCCCGUCCCGCAGCCUCAGCCGCCCACAUGUGUUAAAGGCAGCAGGAGCCUCUUUUGCCUGAGGGGCUUCUCAGGCAGAAGCCCCGCGCCAGGGAUGGCAUCACUAAACUUAAGCUCACUUGUCACAAUGGCAGUAGAGCUGGAAUUUAAUUAUCUGCUGGAGAGAAGCCCUGACAGCUGUGGCGUAGGUUUUUCAAUGUGGAUGUUGCCUGGAUCACAAGAAAAACAUCAAGGGCUGGUGUGAAGAGCCAUGUUCUAAAAGCAUCUCUGCCUGGGUUAGACCAGUGCCUACCGAAGAGCACAAGAAACUUGGCAAUACCCAGAAGCAUACAGAGACUUUUGUUUUCAAGAAAGGUGCCACUCAGAUCUUCUGCCAAGACCUGCUUCUAAGCCACCCCAUACUGUCCAUCUGAACAGACAGCAGCUCUAUUUUCUCAUUACAAGGCAGGACCAUCAACAGGGAGGUGCUGGAUGGGUGCAGCUGUUUUCUCUGGAAGGAGUCAGUGAGAUAAUUCACAUGGUAAAACUGGUCACUAAAUACUUAGCCAAUCUCCACCUGAGGUAGUUUAACAGCUCUGCCUUCCUGGUGAAACCAAGAGAAAAAACUCGGCUCUCUCUGUCUCCCUAUGGCCAAAGUAAAACUCAUACCUUUGACACAAGCACUGUAGACAACUUCCUUUCAGGUUUUUUAAGGCUGACCCAAUGACCUUGUUUAAUUUUAUUAUAAUUAAUAAUUGUAAUUCAGGUAAUCAACCUGAACAAACAGCUGACAGCAAAAUCUGUGUCUGGUUGUGGAGCACUUUAUAUAUAUAUAUUGCUGAUGCAUGAGUUAUUUUUCUUUUAUGUAGUAAUUGUUGGCAUUGCAUAUGAGAGAAUGACCCUCCUGCUCAUCUCUGCCAAGAGUUUCCAGUCAGUGUAAGACCUUAAAUUCUUUCUGAAUGGCUGCAGGAAAAACAUAUGAAGGACUCGCUAACAUAGGAUACAUUACACUAGUACUUCUGUUCCCAAUCUCCCAAAGAAAUGUUACAGCCCAGAAGGACUGCUAGAAAUCUGUUCUUGCUCACGGCAAGACAUUUUAAAUAGCAAGGGGAUGGGCUCCUCAUUGACUUCCUCUGCAAAGCCUUCUAGCAGUGCCAUGCCACUACCAGGUGGGAAAUUCUGGAUGAGCAGGACCUCCUGUCCUUGGCUGUGCUGCCACAUGCUGCUGCAGGGCUGCAGCCCAGGGCUGCACUCCUCCCAUGCUUUGCUACUGGCUUUAGGUCCUCACAGAGCAAACUACUUAAGUAAAGACUCUCUUUAAGGCUACAAGUAGAAGACACUUGUGUCAGGUGGAAAUCACAAGCUCAUCAGUUAGGACCUGCCCAUGCAGCUUGCUGUUUGGCCAUGUAAUGCCUCUUUUCAGGUACUUAGGACAGUCUCACAUGAAUAUUUACCUUAGAGAACAUGGUUGCCCUUGGGACAUGGCGAUUUCCAGGGAAAGAACAAAUCAAUCUCAUGCCUGAAGGGCUGGGCCCUUCCUCCAGUGCACAAGAAAGUAAAAUACAUCAUUAGGAAGAUCACUGUCCCACAGUGCAUGUAGUAGCUGCCUGUUCCUGCAGAAGAGAUGGUAGAGAGCCUGCCUGGGUGACAGAAUUACAGCAGUGAGUAAAGGGGCACAGGGCUGGGCUCUGCUGCAAAGCCUUGGCUUAGGCCUGGUUGUCCUGUGGCUCCUGGGUGCUCCUCCUCUAUAAAAUCUAGGUGGUAACAUCUCAUGGGGAUUUUAUGAAGCUAAGUGUACGUUCAGAAGUUGCCUUCAGCCUUUGGGUGGAAACCAACUGCUGUCACCAUAAAGUACUGCUGUCUCUCUGAGGACAUAAAUCCCAUCAGAAGCUCAUGAAGACUUCUCCAGUGAGGCAACCUGAGGAGCCGCACAUCACCUGUCCACUUGUUUUUUUCUAAAUAACCAUAUUCUAAAUAAACUAAACUAAGCUAC